AGGCGGCGCGCGAGAAAAAAGGCGGUGCGUGAGAAAAAAAGGCGGCGCGCGAGGGAGGGCGGGAAGGGGAAAGAAGCGGAGACUCCUCCUUCUUUCUUUCCCCUUCCCGCCCUCCCUCGCGCGCCGCCCUUCGCGCCGCUUUUUUUCUCGCGCCGCCUU